CAGCCGCCGCGGUAAUACGAAGGGGGCUAGCGUUGUUCGGAUUUACUGGGCGUAAAGCGCACGUAGGCGGAUCGAUCAGUCAGGGGUGAAAUCCCAGAGCUCAACUCUGGAACUGCCUUUGAUACUGUCGAUCUGGAGUAUGGAAGAGGUGAGUGGAAUUCCGAGUGUAGAGGUGAAAUUCGUAGAUAUUCGGAGGAACACCAGUGGCGAAGGCGGCUCACUGGUCCAUUACUGACGCUGAGGUGCGAAAGCGUGGGGAGCAAACAGGAUUAGAGACCCCAGUAGUCCCUGUCUCUUAUAC
rnacentral:rRNA from 1 species